rnacentral:rRNA from 1 species
CCUANGGGGGGCUGCAGUCGAGAGGCUUCGGCAAUGGGGGAAACCCUGACCGAGCGACGCCGCGUGGAGGAUGAAGGCCCCUGGGUUGUAAACUCCUUUUGCUGGGGAAGAAACACGAUCAGGUGAACAAUCUGGUCGUUUGACGGUACCCGGCGAAUAAGCUCCGGCUAACUCCGUGCCAGCAGCCGCGGUAACACGGGGGGAGCAAGCGUUGUUCGGAAUCACUGGGCGUAAAGGGCGUGUAGGCGGUCAGGUAAGUGGGAUGUGAAAUCCCUCGGCUCACCCGAGGACCUGCAUCCCAAACUGCUUGGCUUGAGUAUGGGAGAGGAUGAGGGAAUUCCUGGUGUAGCGAUGAAAUGCGUAGAUAUCAGGAGGAACACCGGUGGCGAAAGCGCUCAUCUGGCCCAAUACUGACGCUGAGGCGCGAAAGCUAGGGGAGCAAACGGGAUUAGAUACCCUANUAGUC